rnacentral:tRNA from 1 species
GCCCCGGUGGCGGAAUUGGUAGACGCGCUGGUCUCAAACACCAGUGAACUCUGUUCAUGUCGGUUCGAGCCCGACCCUGGGUA